AACGAACGCUGGCGGCAGGCUUAACACAUGCAAGUCGAGCGCCCCGCAAGGGGAGCGGCAGACGGGUGAGUAACGCGUGGGAACGUACCCUUUGCUACGGAAUAGCUCCGGGAAACUGGAAUUAAUACCGUAUGUGCCCUACGGGGGAAAGAUUUAUCGGCAAAGGAUCGGCACGCGUUGGAUUAGCUAGUUGGUGGGGUAAUGGCCUACCAAGGCGACGAUCCAUAGCUGGUCUGAGAGGAUGAUCAGCCACAUUGGGACUGAGACACGGCCCAAACUCCUACGGGAGGCAGCAGUGGGGAAUAUUGGACAAUGGGCGCAAGCCUGAUCCUGCCAUGCCGCGUGAGUGAUGAAGGCCUUAGGGUUGUAAAGCUCUUUCACCGGAGAAGAUAAUGACGGUAUCCGGAGAAGAAGCCCCGGCUAACUUCGUGCCAGCCGCCGCAGUAAGAC
rnacentral:rRNA from 1 species